GUACCUGAUGCUCCUCGAGCUCCUGCACUAGCACCUGAGCAAAAGGGAAACACAGAUAUGAGGAGCAGCUCGGGCCAUCAACCCAUUCCUCCCUCCACACUUAAAGCCCAGCCGCUGACCGUUUGACUAGUCAAGGCCGGCCUUUCCCUCACCCUCAACGGAACUGCUCGUCCCGCUGCCUCGAUUUCCCCACUGGGACCAUUCACCACGACUCCCAGAUCUCUUUCUUCCCCUUACCUGAGCGGAUUUGUUGCAGGGUCCAGACUGCAAGAACCUAGCGAUCAGGCAGAACUUGCUGAAACUCCAACCUCUGGAAAUUACUGGAACCCUGCAUUCUAGAACUUGCUGGAAACCCACCCUCUGGAAUUGGCCUGCUAGAGUGCCUGAGAAGGAUGUUCAUAGGGAAAUGUUUCAGCAGAGGAACUCUACUACAAAAACCACAAGAGGGAGGGUGCCAGGGGAAGUGGCCUGGUGCUAUUGAAACUGCAACACAGAAGCCAGCCACUGGAGAGAGCUGCACAAGCUGCAGGAACACCCUACCCAGUAAGCCGGCCAGAAGGAGGGAGCAAAACCUUUUCUCUCUGCAACAUCUUUCCAGUUUCCUCUACUGGAAAAGCUUCAUUGCCAGCUGACAAAAGGAAAAAUACUUAAAUGGAUCAGAUCCAUUUUCACAGAGCAGUCAAUAAUGGUGAAUUUGGAGAUGAU
rnacentral:lncRNA from 1 species